rnacentral:rRNA from 1 species
AAUUUUCGGCAAUGGGGGAAACCCUGACCGAGCGACGCCGCGUGAGUGAUGAAGGCCUUCGGGUUGUAAAGCUCUGUUGUAAGGGAAGAACAGUAUGAGGAGGGAAUGCCUUAUACCUGACGGUACCUUACCAGAAAGCCACGGCUAACUACGUGCCAGCAGCCGCGGUAAUACGUAGGUGGCAAGCGUUAUCCGGAAUUAUUGGGCGUAAAGGGAUCGUAGGCGGUUUAUUAAGUUUGUGGUUAAAGUUCGGGGCUCAACCCCGUGAUGCCAUAGAAACUGGUAGACUUGAGUGCAGAAGAGGUUAGUGGAAUUCCAUGUGUAGCGGUAAAAUGCGUAGAUAUAUGGAGGAACACCAGUGGCGAAGGCGACUAACUGGUCUGUAACUGACGCUGAGGAUCGAAAGCGUGGGGAGCAAAU